rnacentral:rRNA from 1 species
UACGAAGGGGGCUAGCGUUGCUCGGAAUCACUGGGCGUAAAGCGCACGUAGGCGGAUUGUUAAGUCGGGGGUGAAAUCCUGGAGCUCAACUCCAGAACUGCCUUCGAUACUGGCGAUCUUGAGUCCGGGAGAGGUGAGUGGAACUCCGAGUGUAGAGGUGAAAUUCGUAGAUAUUCGGAAGAACACCAGUGGCGAAGGCGGCUCACUGGCCCGGUACUGACGCUGAGGUGCGAAAGCGUGGGAGCA